UACGAAGGGGGCUAGCGUUGCUCGGAAUCACUGGGCGUAAAGGGUGCGUAGGCGGGUCUUUAAGUCAGGGGUGAAAUCCUGGAGCUCAACUCCAGAACUGCCUUUGAUACUGAAGAUCUUGAGUCCGGGAGAGGUGAGUGGAACUGCGAGUGUAGAGGUGAAAUUCGUAGAUAUUCGCAAGAACACCAGUGGCGAAGGCGGCUCACUGGCCCGGUACUGACGCUGAGGCACGAAAGCUAGGGGAGCAAACAGG
rnacentral:rRNA from 1 species